GAUGAACGCUGGCGGCGUGCCUAAUACAUGCAAGUCGAGCGAACGGACGAGAAGCUUGCUUCUCUGAUGUUAGCGGCGGACGGGUGAGUAACACGUGGAUAACCUACCUAUAAGACUGGGAUAACUUCGGGAAACCUGAGCUAAUACCGGAUAAUAUUUUGAACCGCAUGGUUCAAAAGUGAAAGACGGUCUUGCUGUCACUUAUAGAUGGAUCCGCGCUGCAUUAGCUAGUUGGUAAGGUAACGGCUUACCAAGGCAACGAUGCAUAGCCGACCUGAGAGGGUGAUCGGCCACACUGGAACUGAGACACGGUCCAGACUCCUACGGGAGGCAGCAGUAGGGAAUCUUCCGCAAUGGGCGAAAGCCUGACGGAGCAACGCCGCGUGAGUGAUGAAGGUCUUCGGAUCGUAAAACUCUGUUAUUAGGGAAGAACAUAUGUGUAAGUAACUGUGCACAUCUUGACGGUACCUAAUCAGAAAGCCACGGCUAACUACGUGCCAGCAGCCGCGGUAAUACGUAGGUGGCAAGCGUUAUCCGGAAUUAUUGGGCGUAAAGCGCGCGUAGGCGGUUUUUUAAGUCUGAUGUGAAAGCCCACGGCUCAACCGUGGAGGGUCAUUGGAAACUGGAAAACUUGAGUGCAGAAGAGGAAAGUGGAAUUCCAUGUGUAGCGGUGAAAUGCGCAGAGAUAUGGAGGAACACCAGUGGCGAAGGCGACUUUCUGGUCUGUAACUGACGCUGAUGUGCGAAAGCGUGGGGAUCAAACAGGAUUAGAUACCCUGGUAGUCCACGCCGUAAACGAUGAGUGCUAAGUGUUAGGGGGUUUCCGCCCCUUAGUGCUGCAGCUAACGCAUUAAGCACUCCGCCUGGGGAGUACGACCGCAAGGUUGAAACUCAAAGGAAUUGACGGGGACCCGCACAAGCGGUGGAGCAUGUGGUUUAAUUCGAAGCAACGCGAAGAACCUUACCAAAUCUUGACAUCCUUUGACAACUCUAGAGAUAGAGCCUUCCCCUUCGGGGGACAAAGUGACAGGUGGUGCAUGGUUGUCGUCAGCUCGUGUCGUGAGAUGUUGGGUUAAGUCCCGCAACGAGCGCAACCCUUAAGCUUAGUUGCCAUCAUUAAGUUGGGCACUCUAAGUUGACUGCCGGUGACAAACCGGAGGAAGGUGGGGAUGACGUCAAAUCAUCAUGCCCCUUAUGAUUUGGGCUACACACGUGCUACAAUGGACAAUACAAAGGGCAGCGAAACCGCGAGGUCAAGCAAAUCCCAUAAAGUUGUUCUCAGUUCGGAUUGUAGUCUGCAACUCGACUACAUGAAGCUGGAAUCGCUAGUAAUCGUAGAUCAGCAUGCUACGGUGAAUACGUUCCCGGGUCU
rnacentral:rRNA from 1 species